GACAUAGGAUGCAAGCGUUAUCCGGAAUUAUUGGGCGUAAAGCGUCUGUAGGUGGCUUUUCAAGUCCGCCGUCAAAUCCCAGGGCUCAACCCUGGACAGGCGGUGGAAACUACCAAGCUGGAGUACGGUAGGGGCAGAGGGAAUUUCCGGUGGAGCGGUGAAAUGCGUAGAGAUCGGAAAGAACACCAACGGCGAAAGCGGUCUGCUGGGCCGACACUGACACUGAGAGACGAAAGCUAGGGGAGCGAAUGGG
rnacentral:rRNA from 1 species